rnacentral:rRNA from 1 species
GACGAACGCUGGCGGCGUGCCUAAUACAUGCAAGUCGAACGCAGUGGGGACGGGUGAGUAACACGUGGGUAACCUCCCAUCAGAGGGGAUAACACUUGGAAACAGGUGCUAAACCGAUACUGAUGGAUGGACCCGCGGUGCAUUAGCUCGUUGGUGAGGUAACGGCUCCCCAAAGCCACGAUGCAUAGCCUACCUCCGAGGGUGAUCGGCCACACUGCGACUGUAGCACGGCCCGGAUUCCUACGGGAGGCAGCAGUAGGGAAUCUUCGGCAAUGGACGAAAGUCUGACCGUGCAACGCCGCGUGAGUGAAUAAGGUUUUCGGAUCGUAAUACUCUGUUGUUAGAUAAGCGGUAUCUAACCAGAAAGCCACGGCUAACUACGUGCCAGCCGCCGCGGUAAUAC